UACGUAGGGUGCAAGCGUUGUCCGGAAUUAUUGGGCGUAAAGAGCUCGUAGGCGGUUUGUUGCGUCGGCUGUGAAAUCCCGAGGCUCAACCUCGGGUCUGCAGUCGAUACGAGCAAACUAGAGUGUUGCAGGGGAGACUGGAAUUCCUGGUGUAGCGGUGAAAUGCGCAGAUAUCAGGAAGAACACCCCGUGGCGAAGGCGGUUCUCUGGGACGGUACUGACGCUGGAGACGCGAAAGCGUGGGGAGCAAACCGG
rnacentral:rRNA from 1 species